rnacentral:lncRNA from 1 species
UUUUGAAAGUCAAAUUAAAGCUGCGUAACAUCCUUUUCACUUUGCAUGUGCCUCGGCUACAACCCCUAACCAGUUACUAAUGUAGAGCUGUUCCCUGAUGAGCAUGAAGGAAAACAGGAUGUUGGUCUGUGUGCUUCUCUUGUUCCUGAACUACAACACCUGUCAGGCUUCUGAAAAAGCAUCAGAUAACUCCACACAAAUGUAUUACAUUAAACUGAAAAUCGAUGCAAAUGUACUUCCUAACAUCAGUAAGAUCCUGCAGCCGUUUGUGAGAGAAACCAACGUGCGAGUGGAUGACCUUCGAGUGACGACAAUGUGUGAGAGUGACUCAGGGAGCACAAAGUGUGUGUGUGGGCCCUCACACAAGUGGAGCCAAAGUGUGUGUGGAGCUAAUCUGUGCUGUGACCACAAUGAAUGCAACUUCCCGUCAAACUCUACCUAUGUGUGUAUGUUAAACUCCACAGUCACUAUCGCUGGUUCUUUAACUUUGGAGGGACAGAAGUACAAAGACUGCUUGACUCAAGUGACAUCUAUGGAAUACAAGCACUGCAGUGACUCAGUAUUAAAUGAGAUGAAAAAAGUCUACAGCACAUUGCGUGGAUUUGAUGUUUUAACGAUUACGCAAUUCAGGUUUGGUAGUGUGAUCGUAGAUUUUGAAAUGACAAUUGUUUCUGGCAUCAAAGCAGAAGAAUUGAUAGAAAAAUCACAACGUUUGGCUGAAAGUCUGUCAGGUUCCGUAUAUUUGGAGACCACAGGUAACUAA